UGUUGGUGGGGAUCCACAGUUGUCCCUUGGCUCUUAGUGGAGCUCUGUUGUUGUCCUUUGGCUCUUGGUGGGGAUCUGGUGGUGGGGAUCUCGGGAGGAUCCACGGAUGUCCUUUGGCUCAUGCUGGGAUCCAUUGAUGUCCCUUGGCUCUCAGUGUGGAUCCAUCGAUGUCCCUUGGUUCUCAGUGUGGAUCCCUGGUUGUCCCUUGGCUCUCAGUGUGGAUCCAUCGAUGUCCCUUGGCUCUCAGUGUGGAUCCAUUGAUGUCCCUUGGCUCUCAGUGUGGAUCCCUGGUUGUCCCUUGGCUCUCAUUGGGGAUCUAUGGAUCUCCUUGGCUCCUCACGGUGCAGAUCCCCAGUUCUCCUUGGUUCUUGGUGCCCAUCCAUGCUGAUCCCUUGGUUCUCUGUGGGAUCCAUCCUUUGGUUCUUGAAGGGGAUCCAUGGUCAGAUCUCAGGUGGGAUCCGCAGUUGUCCCUUGAUUCGUGGUGAGGAUCCAGCAGUGGGGAUCUUGGUGGGGAUCCCUGGUUGUCCCUUGGCUCUCAGUGUGGAUCCAUUGAUGUCCCUUGGCUCUCAGAGUGGAUCCCUGGUUGUCCCUUGUCUCUCAGAGUGGAUCCCUGAUUGUCCCUUGGCUCUCAGUGGGGAUCCAUGGAUCUCCUUGGCUCCUCACGGUGCAGAUCCCCAGUUCUCCCCGGUUCUUGGUGCCCAUCCACGCUGAUCCCUUGGUUCUCAGUGGGGAUCCAUCCUUUGGUUUUUGAUGGGGAUCCGUGUGGGGAUGUUGGUGGGGAUCCACAGUUGUCCCUUUGCUCUUAGUGGAGCUCUGUUGUUGUCCUUUGGCUCUUGGUGGGGAUCUGGUGGUGGGGAUCUCGGGAGGAUCCACGGAUGUCCUUUGGCUCAUGCUGGGAUCCAUUGAUGUCCCUUGGCUCUCAGUGUGGAUCCAUCGAUGUCCCUUGGUUCUCAGUGUGGAUCCCUGGCUGUCCCUUGGCUCUCAGUGUGGAUCCAUCGAUGUCCCUUGGCUCUCAGUGUGGAUCCAUUGAUGUCCCUUGGCUCUCAGUGUGGAUCCCUGGUUGUCCCUUGGCUCUCAGUGGGGAUCCAUGGAUCUCCUUGGCUCCUCACGGUGCAGAUCCCCAGUUCUCCUUGGUUCUUGGUGCCCAUCCACGCUGAUCCCUUGGUUCUCAGUGGGGAUCCAUCCUUUGGUUUUUGAUGGGGAUCCGUGGUCGUCCCAUGGAUCUCAGUGGGGAUCCACAGUUGUCCCUUGGCUUUCAGUGGAGCUCGGCUUUUGUCCCUUGGCUCCUGGUGGGGAUCUGGUGGUGGGGAUCUUGGUGAGGAUCCAUGGAUGUCCUUUGGCUCAUGGCUUGGAUCCCUGGUUGU